AUGAAGUCUUAAAAUAUUAUUUCUCUCUUUUUUGAUCAUCCAUUUUUUUUACAAUGAAAUAUUAUAAAACAAUUGAAAAUUUGUGAAAUAAAAAAUGAUUGCUAAGUGUUAUAUGUGGCCUCUUUACAAAGUAUGCUUAAAGAGACAAACAUAACACUUUAAUGCACUUAAAGAGAAAUACACAACACUUUAAUGUAUUUAAAAGUCAAACACAAUACAUUUAAACCUAUAAGUGUAAAACUAUUUAAUGUAUGUAAAAGAUGAUAAAGUUUAUACAUUAUAAAGUGAUAAAACCAUCUAAUAUUUCUUACAUCUAAAGGGGAGAAAAUAUGGUUGAAGUUAUCAAGUUUAUUAAUGUUAUUAUCAUAUUUCUUUCCUUGAUUCUUGUUGCAAUGAAUGUUGAAGGGGAUAUGGAUUGUUCCAAGACAUUUGAUUGUCCAAAAGAUAUGUGUUUGUAUCCCCUAAGAGUAAAGUGUUAUUUUGUGGAAAAGCUGGGUGGUAUUCUUAAAGGAAGAUGUGGAUGUGUUUGAGAGAUUUUCACAUAAGCUCUUUCUAAAAUUAUCCAUGAGCUGUCAUUCUGCUUUUCUGUUGGUACUCAAUAAUUUGUUUUUUUUUUUUUUUUUUUUUUACUUUUUAAGUACCUUGUAGUUAUGGAUCUAAGAUGAUGAUAAUGAAAUUGAAUAAAAGAGAAUAAUAUUAUUUAGAUUUUUAUAAA